GGGUUGUGAGGUUAAGCGACUAAGCGUACACGGUGGAUGCCCUGGCAGUCAGAGGCGAUGAAGGACGUGCUAAUCUGCGAUAAGCGCCGGUAAGGUGAUAUGAACCGUUAUAACCGGCGAUUUCCGAAUGGGGAAACCCAGUGUGAUUCGUCACACUAUCAUUAACUGAAUCCAUAGGUUAAUGAGGCGAACCGGGGAACUGAAACAUCUAAGUACCCCGAGGAAAAGAAAUCAACCGAGAUUCCCCAGUAGCGGCGAGCGAACGGGGAGGAGCCCAGAGCCUGAAUCAGCAUGUGUGUUAGUGGAAGCGUCUGGAAAGGCGCGCGAUACAGGGUGACAGCCCCGUACACAAAAGCGCAUGUGCUGUGAGCUCGAUGAGUAGGGCGGGACACGUGGUAUCCUGUCUGAAUAUGGGGGACCAUCCUCCAAGGCUAAAUACUCCUGACUGACCGAUAGUGAACCAGUACCGUGAGGGAAAGGCGAAAAGAACCCCGGCGAGGGGAGUGAAAAAGAACCUGAAACCGUGUACGUACAAGCAGUGGGAGCACCCUUCGGGGUGUGACUGCGUACCUUUUGUAUAAUGGGUCAGCGACUUAUAUUCUGUAGCAAGGUUAACCGUAUAGGGGAGCCGGAGGGAAACCGAGUCUUAACCGGGCGUUAAGUUGCAGGGUAUAGACCCGAAACCCGGUGAUCUAGCCAUGGGCAGGUUGAAGGUUGGGUAACACUAACUGGAGGACCGAACCGACUAAUGUUGAAAAAUUAGCGGAUGACCUGUGGCUGGGGGUGAAAGGCCAAUCAAACCGGGAGAUAGCUGGUUCUCCCCGAAAGCUAUUUAGGUAGCGCCUCGUGAAUUCAUCUCCGGGGGUAGAGCACUGUUUCGGCUAGGGGGCCAUCCCGGCUUACCAACCCGAUGCAAACUGCGAAUACCGGAGAAUGUUAUCACGGGAGACACACGGCGGGUGCUAACGUCCGUCGUGAAGAGGGAAACAACCCAGACCGCCAGCUAAGGUCCCAAAGUCAUGGUUAAGUGGGAAACGAUGUGGGAAGGCCCAGACAGCCAGGAUGUUGGCUUAGAAGCAGCCAUCAUUUAAAGAAAGCGUAAUAGCUCACUGGUCGAGUCGGCCUGCGCGGAAGAUGUAACGGGGCUAAACCAUGCACCGAAGCUGCGGCAGCGAACGUAUCACCCAAGACAACUUUACGGAGUUGACGAUUGACGGAGCGAAGCGACGUCAAAGCGUUCAUUAAAGUCGAGUUGGCUUAGGGAUACGUUCGUUGGGUAGGGGAGCGUUCUGUAAGCCUGUGAAGGUGUGUCGUGAGGCAUGCUGGAGGUAUCAGAAGUGCGAAUGCUGACAUAAGUAACGAUAAAGCGGGUGAAAAGCCCGCUCGCCGGAAGACCAAGGGUUCCUGUCCAACGUUAAUCGGGGCAGGGUGAGUCGACCCCUAAGGCGAGGCCGAAAGGCGUAGUCGAUGGGAAACGGGUUAAUAUUCCCGUACUUGGUGUUACUGCGAAGGGGGGACGGAGAAGGCUAUGUUGGCCGGGCGACGGUUGUCCCGGUUUAAGCGUGUAGGUGUGUGUUCCAGGUAAAUCCGGUUCACUUUAACACUGAGGCGUGACGACGAGGCACUACGGUGCUGAAGCAACAAAUGCCCUGCUUCCAGGAAAAGCCUCUAAGCAUCAGGUAACACGAAAUCGUACCCCAAACCGACACAGGUGGUCAGGUAGAGAAUACCAAGGCGCUUGAGAGAACUCGGGUGAAGGAACUAGGCAAAAUGGUGCCGUAACUUCGGGAGAAGGCACGCUGACACGUAGGUGAAGUGAUUUACUCAUGGAGCUGAAGUCAGUCGAAGAUACCAGCUGGCUGCAACUGUUUAUUAAAAACACAGCACUGUGCAAACACGAAAGUGGACGUAUACGGUGUGACGCCUGCCCGGUGCCGGAAGGUUAAUUGAUGGGGUCAGCGCAAGCGAAGCUCCUGAUCGAAGCCCCGGUAAACGGCGGCCGUAACUAUAACGGUCCUAAGGUAGCGAAAUUCCUUGUCGGGUAAGUUCCGACCUGCACGAAUGGCGUAAUGAUGGCCAGGCUGUCUCCACCCGAGACUCAGUGAAAUUGAACUCGCUGUGAAGAUGCAGUGUACCCGCGGCAAGACGGAAAGACCCCGUGAACCUUUACUAUAGCUUGACACUGAACAUUGAGCCUUGAUGUGUAGGAUAGGUGGGAGGCUUUGAAGUGUGGACGCCAGUCUGCAUGGAGCCGACCUUGAAAUACCACCCUUUAAUGUUUGAUGUUCUAACGUGGACCCGUAAUCCGGGUUGCGGACAGUGUCUGGUGGGUAGUUUGACUGGGGCGGUCUCCUCCUAAAGAGUAACGGAGGAGCACGAAGGUUGGCUAAUCCUGGUCGGACAUCAGGAGGUUAGUGCAAUGGCAUAAGCCAGCUUGACUGCGAGCGUGACGGCGCGAGCAGGUGCGAAAGCAGGUCAUAGUGAUCCGGUGGUUCUGAAUGGAAGGGCCAUCGCUCAACGGAUAAAAGGUACUCCGGGGAUAACAGGCUGAUACCGCCCAAGAGUUCAUAUCGACGGCGGUGUUUGGCACCUCGAUGUCGGCUCAUCACAUCCUGGGGCUGAAGUAGGUCCAAGGGUAUGGCUGUUCGCCAUUUAAAGUGGUACGCGAGCUGGGUUUAGAACGUCGUGAGACAGUUCGGUCCCUAUCUGCCGUGGGCGCUGGAGAACUGAGGGGGGCUGCUCCUAGUACGAGAGGACCGGAGUGGACGCAUCACUGGUGUUCGGGUUGUCAUGCCAAUGGCACUGCCCGGUAGCUAAAUGCGGAAGAGAUAAGUGCUGAAAGCAUCUAAGCACGAAACUUGCCCCGAGAUGAGUUCUCCCUGAGACUUAGAGUCUCCUGAAGGAACGUUGAAGACGACGACGUUGAUAGGCCGGGUGUGUAAGCGCAGCGAUGCGUUGAGCUAACCGGUACUAAUGAACCGUGAGGCUUAACCUUACAACGCCGAAG
rnacentral:rRNA from 1 species